rfam:Parcubacteria (Thrbacteria) bacterium GW2011_GWA2_52_8d TY76_C0037, whole genome shotgun sequence.
GGGGCUGUCAGGCUUCGACGGGAGUCCCUUCCAUCCUGAUCAAGUCGUGCGGGCAUGGGCCGCACGCAAAUAUUCCCCAUGCAAGACGACAACUGCAAACAACGUCAUGGCAAUGAUCAAGAACGCCCUCCGCGUUCCAUCAUUCGCCCCUGUUCUCGCGUAAGCGUCAGAACCAUCCGCGCUGGUCAUGCUCGAUAGCCAGCAGUCGGGUGUUAUAUUAUCGAGCUUCGCGUGUGAGGUCACCGAUCUCUCACAUGUAAGAGUUGCGAUCGGCUCCUCGUCAUGUAUUGCUUCACGCCUUGAGCGUGACGAGGUAUGAGGCGUGAAUGAGCUUGGAAACAUCAGAAUGCGAAACCUUACCGCACAGGGGUUCAAUUCCCCUCAGCUCCACCA